rnacentral:tRNA from 1 species
GGUCCAAUGGUCUAGUGGCAUGAUUCUCGCUUAGGGUGCGAGAGGUCCCGGGUUCAAUUCCCGGUUGGGCCC